rnacentral:rRNA from 1 species
UACGUAGGGUGCGAGCGUUAAUCGGAAUUACUGGGCGUAAAGUGUGCGCAGGCGGCAAAGCAAGUCGAGUGUGAAAGCCCCGGGCUUAACCUGGGAAUUGCAUUUGAUACUCUGGAGCUUGAGUGUGGGAGAGGAGAGUGGAAUUCCCAGUGUAGAGGUGAAAUUCGUAGAUAUUGGGAAGAACACCGGUGGCGAAGGCGGCUCUCUGGACCACAACUGACGCUGAGGCGCGAAAGCGUGGGGAGCAAACAGG